rnacentral:rRNA from 1 species
AGUCUGAUGGAGCAACGCCGCGUGAGUGAAGAAGGGUUUCGGCUCGUAAAGCUCUGUUGUUAAAGAAGAACGUGGGUGAGAGUAACUGUUCACCCAGUGACGGUAUUUAACCAGAAAGCCACGGCUAACUACGUGCCAGCAGCCGCGGUAAUACGUAGGUGGCAAGCGUUAUCCGGAUUUAUUGGGCGUAAAGCGAGCGCAGGCGGUCUUUUAAGUCUAAUGUGAAAGCCUUCGGCUCAACCGAAGAAGUGCAUUGGAAACUGGGAGACUUGAGUGCAGAAGAGGACAGUGGAACUCCAUGUGUAGCGGUGAAAUGCGUAGAUAUAUGGAAGAACACCAGUGGCGAAGGCGGCUGUCUGGUCUGUAACUGACGCUGAGGCUCGAAAGCAUGGGUAGCGAACAGGAUUAGAUACCCUGGUAGUCCAUGCCGUAAACGAUGAUUACUAAGUGUUGGAGGGUUUCCGCCCUUCAGUGCUGCAGCUAACGCAUUAAGUAAUCCGCCUGGGGAGUACGACCGCAAGGUUGAAACUCAAAAGAAUUGACGGGGGCCCGCACAAGCGGUGGAGCAUGUGGUUUAAUUCGAAGCUACGCGAAGAACCUUACCAGGUCUUGACAUCUUCUGCCAACCUAAGAGAUUAGGCGUUCCCUUCGGGGACAGAAUGACAGGUGGUGCAUGGUUGUCGUCAGCUCGUGUCGUGAGAUGUUGGGUUAAGUCCCGCAACGAGCGCAACCCUUAUUACUAGUUGCCAGCAUUCAGUUGGGCACUCUAGUGAGACUGCCGGUGACAAACCGGAGGAAGGUGGGGACGACGUCAAAUCAUCAUGCCCCUUAUGACCUGGGCUACACACGUGCUACAAUGGAUGGUACAACGAGUCGCGAAACCGCGAGGUUUAGCUAAUCUCUUAAAACCAUUCUCAGUUCGGACUGUAGGCUGCAACUCGCCUACACGAAGUCGGAAUCGCUAGUAAUCGCGGAUCAGCAUGCCGCGGUGAAUACGUUCCCGGGCCUUGUACACACCGCCCGUCACACCAUGAGAGUUUGUAACACCCAAAGCCGGUGGGGUAACCUUUUAGGAGCUAGCCGUCUAAGUG